CACUCACUCUAGCCUGGGCAACAAAGUGAGACUCUGUCUCAAAAAAACAAAACAAAAAACCAAAAAACUUUCUGUUGUUAUGAUUGUUUUCCAAGGUAAAGACAAGGGGUGAAACACAUGGUUCAGAAGACUCUAGUCCUUUGGGCCUUUGGGGAGGAAGAAUUACAUUGUACUGCCCCUGCAAAUGGCCAAUAGAGCAGAAAAAGGGCUGUGUUGGUGAAAUCCCUGUUGAGAUCAGGGACAGAUUCUUCCCUGCCUGCAAAGGACACUCCACUACCCAGCAACCUUGGAGAUGGGACCACAGCACUAAAGAGUGUGCAGGGAGCUUAAAGUCUCAAGAUUUGUUUGCUGUGGACCUCUAACCUAGUGAAUAAAACUUUUUCCUGAGUUUUAUAAUAGGUGUCACUGAGUGUGGAGUUCUUAUAGGAGAGAAAGAGGUUCCUAGCAUAAUUUGGUAACUGAAAGAGAACAUGAUAUAGUGAAAAACCAUGGAAUUUGGAGUUAGUUGGUCUCAUAUUGGCAUGAUGAUUAUAUUCCCAACCUUGUACAGAUUACUUAGAUGUCUGAGCCUUAGUUUUGUUACUCAUAAAAUAGAUACGAAUAAACCUAUCACUCAAUAAACAUUAGUUUCUUCCCCCACUGGCUAAUUUUCAUAAUUAAUUUGUAAACCUAAAAGCAUUUUAUAAUUAUCAGAUAUUAUUAAUCAUUCAUAAAAUAUUUGUGAAGGCUGCUAUAUACUAGACACUGUGAUAGGUACUGGAGAAAUGGAAGAUUGGCUGAGGCAGGGUCUUAUCCUCAAGAAAGCUACUGAAAGAGAAAUUCAUUCUUUUCCCUGGUCCAGAAAGAAAAAGCAGUAAGGCCAGAGGGAAAGGUCCUGUAGCCUGCACAGGCAGCCAAGUUCCUGGCACUUGGCCCUCCCUGGGGGAUAUCUGAUACUUGACCCCCAGCCAUCAGCUGAGAGCUUGCCCGGAUUACCUGACCCAAAGACUCGAGGGACAGGGCUGCAAGAGGGAUCUACAAAUCUUCCAAAUAAGCAGGCAAGAGAAUCUUACAACAAACACAAAAUGACUUGCGGGUAGUAGGAAGUAGUUGCGCCAACUGAUGGAGGAGGUUGUCAAACACAAGGAGAGGAAAAUCACCAUAGAUUUCUGUGUUUCUAUAGCAAGUGGAUAGAACAAUCCAGACACACUGAUUUCUACCCAGCUAGCCAGACCUCUCAUUUUUUGGCUCCUUUUGUCUUAUUUUUCUCUUCCUUCUAAGAAGAUAGAAAAUGAGUAAGGUGUGGAAGGUUUCUUACCCAACCAUGAUUCAGGAGGAAGCUCAGCCACAGAACAGGCAAGUGUGGCAUUGCCUAGAGAAAAAGGACUUGUAGAGACAGGUCCCAGAUAGAUCCACCCCAGAUUUCUGAAAGAAGGCACCUCCUUCAUUGUAUGUUCUAAGACCUUCCAAGUUCAGAAAGAAACCAUCUGCAUCAGCAUCGACAGCCUGGUAUAAUGCACCCAGCAGGCCCAGUGUGAGUAAACCAGAGGCUCCUCUACAACAUGACCCACAGGGACAAUGCAGGUCUUGUUUGCAGCCUGAAGUUUGUGACUCUCCUGAUUGCUCUAAGUCCGGAACUCCUACUCCUGGGAGCUGGAGUGCAGCUUCAAAACAAUGGGUAUGAUGGAUUACUUGUUGCGAUUAAUCCUCAGGUACCAGAGAAUCAGAACCUCAUCUCAAACAUUAAGGAAAUGAUAACUGACGCUUCAUACUAUCUAUUCAAUGCUACCAAGAGAAGAGUGUUUUUCAGAAAUAUAAAGAUUUUAAUACCUGCCACAUGGAAAGCUAAUAAUUACAGCAAAGUAAAACAAGAAUCAUAUGAAAAGGCAAAUGUCAUAGUGACUGACUGGUAUGGGGCACAUGGAGACGACCCAUAUACCCUACAAUACAAAGGGUGUGGAAAAGAGGGAAAAUACAUUCAUUUCACAUCUAAUUUUCUACUGAGUGAUAACUUAACAGCUGGCUACGGAUCACGAGGUAGAGUGUUUGUCCAUGAAUGGGCCCAUCUCCAUUGGGGUGUGUUUGAUGAAUAUAACAAUGACAAACCUUUCUACAUAAAUGGUCAAAAUCAAAUUAAAGUAACAAGGUGUUCAUCUGACAUCACUGGCAUUUUCGUGUGUGAAAAAGGUCCUUGUCCUCAAGAAAACUGUAUUAUUAGUAAGCUUUUCAAAGAAGGAUGUAUGUUUCUCUAUAAUAACACACAAAAUGCAACUGCAUCAAUAAUGUUCAUGCAAAGUUUAUCUUCUGUGGUUGAAUUCUGUAAUGCAAGUACUCACAACCAAGAAGCUCCAAACUUACAGAACCAAAUGUGCAGCCUCAGAAGUGCGUGGGACAUAAUCACAGAAUCUGCUGACUUUAAUCACAGCUUUCCCAUGAAUGGGACUGAGCUUCCACCUCCUCCCACAUUCUCCCUUAUACAGGCUGGUGACAAAGUGGUCUGUUUAGUGCUGGAUGUGUCUAGCAAGAUGGCAGAGGCUGACAGACUCCUUCGACUGCAACAAGCAGCAGAAUUUUAUUUGAUGCAGAUUGUUGAAAUUCAUACCUUUGUGGGUAUUGCAAGUUUCAGUAGCAAAGGAGAGAUCAGAGCCCAGCUACACCAAAUUAACAGUAAUGAUGACCGAAAGCUGCUGGUUUCAUAUCUGCCCACCACUGUGUCAGCUGGAGCAGAAGCCAGCAUCUGUUCAGGGCUUAAGAAGGGAUUUGAGGUGGUUGAAAAACUGAAUGGAAAAGCCUAUGGCUCUGUGAUGAUAUUAGUGACCAGUGGAGAUGAUAAGCAUAUCAGCAACUGCUUACUCACUGUACUCAGCAGUGGUUCGACCAUUCAUUCCAUUGCCCUAGGUUCAUCUGUGGUCCAAAACCUAGAGGAAUUAUCACAACAUACAGGAGGCUUAAAGUUCUUUGUUCCAGAUAAAUCAGACUCCAAUAGCAUGAUUGAUGCUUUCAGUAGAAUUUCCUCUGGAACUGGAGACAUUUUUCAGCAACGUGUUCAGCUAGAAAGUAUGGGUGAAAACGUUAAACCUCAUCACCAAUUGAAAAACACUGUGAUUGUGGAUAACAGUGUGGGCAAUGACACUAACUUCCUGGUUACAUGGCAGAGCAGUGGUCUCCCUGAGAUUGUAUUAUUUGAUCCUGAUGGAAGAAAAUACUACACAAAUAAUUUUAUCACCAAUCUAGCUCUUCGGACAGCUAGCCUCUGGAUUCCAGGAACUGCUAAGCCAGGGCGCUGGACUUACACACUGAACAAUACUCACCAUUCUCUGCAAGCCCUGAAAGUGACAGUGACCUCUCGUGCCUCCAGCUCAGCUGUACCCCCAUUCACUGUGGAAGCCUUUGUGGAAAGAGACAGCACCCAUUUUCCCCAGCCCUUCAUGAUUUAUGCCAAUGUGAGAAAGGGGUUUUAUCCCAUUCUUAAUGCUACUGUAACUGCCACAGUUGAGCCAGAGACUGGAGAUCCUGUCACUCUGAGACUUCUGGAUAAUGGAGCAGGUGCUGAUGUUAUAAAAAAUGAUGGAAUUUACUCGAGGUAUUUUUUCUCCUUUGCUGGAAAUGGCAGAUAUAGCUUGAAAGUGCAUGCCAGUCACUCUCCCAGCGUAAGGACCCUAGUCCACUCUAUUCCAGGGAGUCAUGCUAUGUAUGUACCAGGUUACAUAGCAAAUGGUAACAUUCAGAUGAAUGCCCCAAGGAAGUCAGUGGGCAGAAGUGAGGAGGAGCAAAAGUGGGGCUUUGGCCGAAUAAGCUCAGGGGGUUCCUUUUCAGUGCUGGGAGUGCCAACCAGCCUCCAUACUGAUGUGUUUCCACCUUGCAAAAUUAUUGACCUGGAAGCUAUAAAAGUGGAAGAAGAGGUGACCCUAUCUUGGACAGCACCCGGAGAAGACUUUGAUCAGGGACAAGCUACAAGCUAUGAAAUAAGAAUGAGUAAAAGUCUGCAGAAUAUUCAAGAUGACUUUAACAAUGCUAUUUCAGUGAAUACGUCAAAUCUAAAUCCUCAGGAAGCUGGCACCAGAGAGAUAUUUACAUUCUCUCCCAAACUUUUCACAAAUGGACCUGAACAUCAACCUGAUGGAGAGACACAAGAAAGCCACAGAAUUUAUGUGGCAGUACGAGCAGUGGAUAGGAACUCCUUAAAGUCGGCUGUAUCUAACAUUGCCCAGGCAUCUCUGUUUAUCCCCCCAAAUUCUGCCCCUAUACCUGCCAGAGAUUAUCUAAUAUUGAAAGGAGUUUUAACAGCAAUGGGUUUGAUAGGAAUCAUUUGCCUUAUUAUAGUUGGAAUACACUAUACUGUAAAUAGGAAGAAGAGAGCAGACAAGAAAGACAAUAGAACAAAAUUACUAUGAACAAAUGUAUAAAAUACUUUCCUCCUUAGAUAUAAGACCUAUGGCCUUUACACUUUGCAAAUUAAACCAAGAAAGUCAAAGUAACAUCAAACUGUACUAAAAUGCAUUGGGUAUUUUACAAUACAGAUCAGAUUUUGACAUAGUAAAUAAAAAAUUCUUUUAUGAUACUCAUUUUGGGGGGGUGCAGGGUGGGAAUUAGAAAAUUCCUAGCCUUUGGCUUUGGAAAAAUAAUAAAUUAUUCUGCAAAGUAAUGUCUUUAAAGGCAAGGCAAGGGCAAAGUUGAAUCAGAAUCAAGAAAAGCUUAUUUUAUUGAAGUGGAAAAACAACCCCAAGUAAAGAAAAGAGGGUCAGGUCUGAAUUAUGCAGUAUAACUGUCUGUAUGAAGUAAUUGAAGCAAUCAUUUAGUUACUUUGAUUAAUUUUCCAUUUCUCCUUAUCUGUACAGAACAGGUUGCUUGUUUAUAGCUGAAGAUCAAGCUGCACUUUAUAUAUGAAGCCUCUGUUAUAAAGUUCUUUACCUCUUGCCAUUUGGUUAAAUAUACUACAGAUCAAAUCCACCACUAGUGCCCAAAGAUCUUUUUCACUGCAAGAGGUAACCUUAAAAUAUCUUCAGGAAGAUUAUGAAGAACUACUUCGUUACGCUAUAGUGACUCCAAAUAUUGAAUCCAGUGGUUCCCAGUCAUCUCAUUCUAAGGGAGAAGUGGCACCAGAUGUUAGAAUUCCUACUGCAAUUGAUGAUAUUCUUCAUAGUCAAGGGGAUAACCCUUUAAGAGAAACUCCAAUGGAAGUUGGAAAAGGAUGUGAUUUCAAUAUUUCAAGUCAUUCAAAGACAGAUGGGUCAUCACCAGUGUUAUCACCAAAGAAGCCUUCUCACCCAGUCAUGGAUUUUUUCAGUUCACAUCUUUUCCUUAACUCUUCCUCACCAGCAACUAACUCUAGUCAUACAGAUGGCCAUGAAAUAAUUAUGAGCUAUUAUCUUGUUUCUGAUGAAAGCCUUCAGAAGAUGGAAAAUGUACUUGAUCUUUGGAGCUGAGAUCUUAAGACAAAUAUCAUAUCUAAACUAAGUAAAUGGAAACUUAAUUUUAUUGACUGGCACCGAAUGGAAAUGAAAAAAGAGGAAGAAAAACAUGCAGCACAUUCAAAACAACUGUGAAAACAGAUCAACAAAUUCAAGGAGCUGCAGAAAGCCUUUGAAAUCUCCAUUGGGAGAAAAGAUGAGGUGAUUUCUAGCUUGUCUCAUGCCAUAGGCAAGCAGAAGGAAAAGACAGAGUUGAUGAGAACAUUCUUCCACUGGCGAAUUGGCCAUGU